rnacentral:rRNA from 1 species
AUGCACGCUGGCGGCGUGCCUAAUACAUGCAAGUCGAGCGAACAGACGAGGAGCUUGCUCCUCUGACGUUAGCGGCGGACGGGUGAGUAACACGUGGAUAACCUACCUAUAAGACUGGGAUAACUUCGGGAAACCGGAGCUAAUACCGGAUAAUAUAUUGAACCGCAUGGUUCAAUAGUGAAAGACGGUUUUGCUGUCACUUAUAGAUGGAUCCGCGCCGCAUUAGCUAGUUGGUAAGGUAACGGCUUACCAAGGCGACGAUGCGUAGCCGACCUGAGAGGGUGAUCGGCCACCCUGGAACUGAGACACGGUCCAGACUCCUACGGGAGGCAGCAGUAGGGAAUCUUCCGCAAUGGGCGAAAGCCUGACGGAGCAACGCCGCGUGAGUGAUGAAGGUCUUCGGAUCGUAAAACUCUGUUAUUAGGGAAGAACAAAUGUGUAAGUACCUAUGCACGUCUUGACGGUACCUAAUCAGAAAGCCACGGCUAACUCCGUG